CGCGGUGUGGUAGUAACGGUAGCUCGGAUGACUCAUUAUCAUCAGAUUCCAGUUCGAUUCUGGACACCGCUA
rnacentral:tRNA from 1 species